rnacentral:tRNA from 1 species
GCCCGGGUGGUCUAGUGGUAUGAUUCUCGCUUAGGGAGACAACCCAAGCAUAUCUGCGAGAGGUCCCGCGUUCGAUCCGCGGCUCGGGCC